AUGGCCCAUCAUGCAGCAGGUGCUAUAGCGAAACUCAUUGCAAAAGAGGGUAAAUCGGCCACUUUAAGAUUACCAUCUGGGGAGGUCCGUUUAGUAUCCCAAAACUGCUUAGCAACAGUCGGACAAGUGGGUAAUGUUGGGGUGAACCAAAAAAGUUUGGGUAGAGCCGGUUCCACCUACUGCUCCCGGGCCACAAUAUGA
rnacentral:rRNA from 1 species